rnacentral:rRNA from 1 species
GACGAACGCUGGCGGCGUGCUUAACACAUGCAAGUCGAACGAUGAAGAAGAGAAACGCGAACUUCGGUUCAAAUUUCACUUCGGAUUAGUGGCAGACGGGUGAGUAACGCGUGAGCAACCUACCUCUUACAAAGGGAUAGCCUCGGGAAACCGUGAUUAAUACCAUAUGACACAUUCAUAAGGCAUCUUAAGAAUGUUAAAGCUACGGCGGUAAGAGAUGGGCUCGCGUCCCAUUAGCUAGUUGGUGAGGUAACGGCCCACCAAGGCGACGAUGGGUAACCGGCCUGAGAGGGUGAACGGUCACAUUGGAACUGAGACACGGUCAAAACUCCUACGGGAGGCAGCAGUGGGGAAUAUUGCACAAUGGAGGGAACUCUGAUGCAGCGACGCCGCGUGAGCGAUGAAGGAAUUCGUUUCGUAAAGCUCUGUUCUAUGGGAAGAAAAGGACUGUACCAUAGGAGAAAGCCCCGGCUAAAUACGUG